GACGAACGCUGGCGGCGUGCCUAAUACAUGCAAGUAGAACGCUGAAGGAGGAGCUUGCUUCUCUGGAUGAGUUGCGAACGGGUGAGUAACGCGUAGGUAACCUGCCUGGUAGCGGGGGAUAACUAUUGGAAACGAUAGCUAAUACCGCAUAAGAGUAGAUGUUGCAUGACAUUUGCUUAAAAGGUGCAAUUGCAUCACUACCAGAUGGACCUGCGUUGUAUUAGCUAGUUGGUGAGGUAACGGCUCACCAAGGCAACGAUACAUAGCCGACCUGAGAGGGUGAUCGGCCACACUGGGACUGAGACACGGCCCAGACUCCUACGGGAGGCAGCAGUAGGGAAUCUUCGGCAAUGGACGGAAGUCUGACCGAGCAACGCCGCGUGAGUGAAGAAGGUUUUCGGAUCGUAAAGCUCUGUUGUAAGAGAAGAACGAGUGUGAGAGUGGAAAGUUCACACUGUGACGGUAUCUACCAAAA
rnacentral:rRNA from 1 species